rnacentral:rRNA from 1 species
UACGGGGGGAGCAAGCGUUGUUCGGAUUUACUGGGCGUAAAGGGCGCGUAGGCGGUCACGACACGUCAGUUGUGAAAUCUCCGGGCUUAACUCGGAACGGUCAACUGAUACUGUCGGACUAGAGUGCAGAAGGGGCAACUGGAAUUCUCGGUGUAGCGGUGAAAUGCGUAGAUAUCGAGAGGAACACCUGCGGCGAAGGCGGGUUGCUGGGCUGACACUGACGCUGAGGCGCGAAAGCUAGGGGAGCGAACGGG